ACUCUCUGGGCCCGGCUGGGGUAGAGAAGCCCAGGGGUUGGCUGGCAGAGGAAGGGAAGGGUCCGGGGUCGGCUGAGCAUGCCCUCAGGUUGCUCACUGUUCUUCCCUAGAAUGUCAGGUGAUGUGUCACCCCAAGUGCUCCACGUGCUUGCCAGCCACCUGCGGCUUGCCUGCUGAAUAUGCCACACACUUCACCGAGGCCUUCUGCCGUGACAAAAUGAACUCCCCAGGUCUCCAGACCAAGGAGCCCAGCAGCAGCUUGCACCUGGAAGGGUGGAUGAAGGUGCCCAGGAAUAACAAACGAGGACAGCAAGGCUGGGACAGGAAGUACAUUGUCCUGGAGGGAUCAAAAGUCCUCAUUUAUGACAAUGAAGCCAGAGAAGGUAAAUUAAUAAUUCAGGGGGAAGGUCAUUGCACGUGGCUAACCCAGGUCUCCCCAGUGCUGGCGCGAAGGCUUUGUUUUUUGGACUGCCUUGCAAGCCUUCUACGCUUUUCCAUUUUUGAAACUUACAAACCAAAUGACUUCUCUAAAGGUUAUUGGUGCGAUACUCACAUCUAUAGGUCUCC
rnacentral:sRNA from 1 species